UGGUGGAGGAGGAAGAUUUGCAGAAAAUGCCUUACUUGAAAGCAGUGAUAUUAGAAGGUCUUAGGUGGAACCCACCUGGUCACUUUGUGCUGCCACACACAGUGACGGAGGAAGUUCAACUGAACGACUACGUCAUUCUAAAGGAUUCUUGUAGUGGAUACGAGCUCGUAGUGGAUUCUUCAUCAUAGUGGUGAAUUCUUGCUUCUCCGAGAGAUCAACAUCAUCUCCUUCCACAUGAUUCCAUUGAAAAUGCCAAAUCAAAUUAGCGACAAAGUAUUCCAAUGAAGCAUAGCCAAUGCAAAGGCAGGACAUAUUCUCCUCCCUACCCCGAAUGACAUCAUCUUGUUAUCUUUACUUCCUGUUAUAUCGAAAUCAACUCCCUUAUCUGAUUCUUCCACUAAGAACCUCUCUGUCCUAAACUCCAUUGGAUCCUCCCAUACAUUUGGGUCUAAACCCAUCUCCCCAACCAUGAAAUUGAUGGUGGUAUCCUUUAGAAUGACGUAGUCGUUCAGUUGAACUUCCUCUGUUGCUGUGUGUGGAAGCACAAAGUGAUCGGGUGGGUUACGCCUAAGACCUUCUAAUAUCAUUGCUUUCAAGUAUGGUAUUUUCUGCAAAUCUUCCUCCUUCACCGCCUCUUCAUCUGUCAACUUGCUCUGUUUUUCUCCCACUACACUCGCAUUUUCUCGGUAUAGUUUUUCCUGAAAGGAAGGGUUUUUUACCAAGUUGGCCAUAAUCCACUGUAAGGCUGAUAUAAUUAAGCUAAGGACAACAUUGAAAAGUAAUAAAAUAGUAAUGAAAGAGUGAGAAGCUUAGAAAAGAAUGAAAAGAAAGGUAAAGGAAAAGAGUAAGAAACAAGCUAUGCUUUAUUUAGCUAAACAAUUCUCUGCAUAAACUUCAACAAAGACAAAUACAAUACUUAAAUCGCCCAAGCAUUCCUGCUGGACAGUACAAAACAUAAGUCCCCAGCAAUUGGACAUAAAGUAUCCAAUCCUCAAACAUAUCGGGCAAUUUUGAUAAUAAUAGAAACAACUUUAAAAAACCUAUUGAACUAAUCUGAACAAUAUGAAACUACUCUUCUUAAAUAAAACCUAACAAACUUAACGGCUAGGUGCAACCCUUCCAGCGCACAGUACACACUUUGCCUAAGCUUCUGAAUCCGUUCUUGCAUCAAUAGUAGUGGACCCCGUAUCAGCUCCAACGCUUAGGAAUUCGCUGCAGUGGACUACAAUUUCUUCAACAUUGAGGUUCCUUUUUUCCUUUGGCAAUUCCAAAUUCAACAGCGUAUCCACAUAAGCCACUACUAACUCAUCACCGUGCUCGGUCUUUUCUUCUUUGGCUCUGCGUCGAGCUUCAAUCAAAGGAAUGAUGAUAUUCCUUUGCUCUCGUUGUAGUUCAAUGAGUUCCUUCCAGCGAUUUCUAAAUAUUAUUUUUCCAACUCUGGGAAAGAAUUUUAGUAUAUGUUUGUAUCGUCAGAAACCCAGAACCAAGUUAUUUUGCAUAUUUUCAAUUUGCUUGAUGUGAAGUUCCUCAAGUUUAUCCCCAAAACACAUCAACACAAGAAGACAGAACAUAGCAUAUUGAAAAUGAUCAAUUAACUUCAUGGAAUCGACUUGGGCGUGACGGAUCUGUUGAAGGAGAAUACACAACACCCACGAUCUGGCCUUGGAAUAGGACUUGAAGCGAGAAUGAUGGAGUAUUUCUGAAGUCAAGUUUCGAUGGAGAAGACGUCAUAUUGGGCUGUAAGGGGCGGAGCUGAUGAUGCGCUGGUUACUAGAUUCAGUCAUUGGCCGAUCGGAGAAAAUAGAGCAUUGCUGGACUAAAGCUUGGUAGGUUAAAGAGUGACUACCUAUAUAUAUGGUAGGACGAGACCCAAUAUUGAGGGUUAUCAGAGGACCAUACUUAGCCUUGAGUACACGGAGUGUGGGUUCUAAUUUGGCGGUGGACCAUAAUUAGCUUCCGAUCACCGGAAAAAUGUAGGGUUCCGGUGGGAGUUUCUUCUUAGAUUUGGAGUUAGCAGAGAUGAAAAAUACAAGAUUAAAGAGGAAUUUGAGUUAGAAAGAUAUGCAGAGAGUAAGGAGUAGUAUGAAAAUCCAGUUCUCCAUUACUCUAUUCCAAUUGCACAAAGAGAUUGUUUUCAUUUUCAUGCGAGUGAUUUUAGUAACAAAGGAGAAUCAUCUGUAGAGAUUAUGUGGCUGAAAAGAUAGCCUUAAGUCAUACACAGUCCCUUAAAAUUAUUCGCAUAUUUCACUUGGACAUCUCAACUAAGUCUUGUAUCUAUUGAACACCUCUAGUACUUUGAAUUGAUACCUAUUUGACAUUUUUUGGACAAUCAGCCAAAAAUAUUAAGUGUGUGAGAUACAUUCGCUAUGACAUGACACUAUGACGAAUUAAAUUAUGACAUGUGUUAGUUGGAUAAAAAAAAAUAGUUAAAAAUAUAAUUUAAUAUGAGUGAAGAAAAAUAUUUUAAAUAAUAAAAAAUAAAAUAAAAUUUUGUAAUCCCUGCACAAUUCCCCCCACCCACCAGACCUUUCCCCUGCUACCCAUGACCAUCCCCCCACCGUCUCUUUCUCUUUUUUGUUUUCUGUUCUUCUUUACCAUAGAUUAACAAUGGCAAAUCGUUUAGAUUCAAAAAAAAAAAAAAAAAAACUUUAAUAGUUACCAUUGUUACCAACCACCCAAGUUCUUCCCUGCUACCUAUCAGAACACUACUCUCCUUUUUUUUUCUAAUUUUCUAAAUCAACAAUGACAAAUAUAGAUUCAAUGGUGAUAGAGGAAGUGAAGUGACUGUAGAAAUAAUAAUAAGAAGAAAAGGAACACAUCAUUGAAGAAAAAAAAACACAAUCAAGUGUCGAUGUUAAUGUUAGAGGUGAUGGUAGUUGUUGCUUAAAAGAAGAGGAAGAAAUGGAUGUAUUGGCUGCGAUAAUAAUAAAUCUGAAAAAAUAAACUGAUAAUGUUGGUAAAGGAAGAGAAAAAAAUGAGGAAGAAGAAGAAGGGUGUUUAUGGCAACAAUGGCGGAUGUGAGUGGUAAAGUGGAGAAGUGAUGGCAACAAGUCCACUGAAGAAGAAAGAGAUUUUUAAGUUUUAAGAAAGUCUAAUUUAAUUUUUUCACGCGUUUAUUAUUCGUGAAUCACACCCAAAAUGUCACCUAAGUAAUAAAUGCUCAAUUGGUAUCAAUUCGAAGUACUAGAAGUAUUCAAUAGGUAUAAGGCUUAGUUGAGGUGUUCAAGUAAAAUAUGCGAACAACUUUAAGGGAUUGUGUAUGAUUUAAGCCGAAAAGAUACAACGGAAAUCACAUGUGAAAAUCAAUAUCAUUAACACUUUGUUCGAACUUGAUACGUAUUGUUUCAUAAUGUAUCACAUUGUACUAUAUUAGUUUAAUGAAUAUAAUGUUUGAAUAGAUUAUAUUAUUCUUCAUUGUUACGUAAUGUCAUAUUUCUACAAUUUAAACAAUAAAUCUACAAGAAUAGAGCUUAGUUAGGAAAAAGUAAGAUAAAGAAUAAAAUAAGAUCGUUAGUAAAUAAUAAGUAAUCAAAGACAAACCGAGAAAAAUAUAUUGAAAUAAUGAUCAGAUCACACCAAUCAAUCGAUAUACAAAAUGAAAUUUUUUAUUACUAUUUAACGAUAGAUUUAAACGACACAAUGUAAUAAAAUUAAGUAAGAAUCACAACAGAUAUAAUAUUUUACUACUAUAUAUAAGUGGCUAGAAGCACACGGUUAUUUGGACGACAUGUGCGCUUCUAGCUAUUAACAUUUCUUUCGAGACUAUUUGGUUAUUUACUAUAUAAUUUUACUACUUUUUAUUAUGCUUCUAUUGUUUAUACAAUUUGCUUAGAAAAUGUGUAGUUCAAGAAUUUUUUUCUCUAAUUUCUAUUAGGUGAAAUAGUUUCGUGGGUUCUUAUACUUGACUCGAAUUGUAAAUCGGUCCCUUCUACUUCACAAAGUUUCAAUUACACACUAAAAUUCAAACAAAAUAAAAAUUUUAAACCCUUCUGUCAGCAUGUGUUCCUCACUCAAUCUGAUAUGAAUGACACAUCAUAUGCACGUAAAUAAAAAAGCACGUCACAUUCAUCUCAUUAGUUUAAUGGACACAUGAUAUUUUUUAUAUAUUUAUUUUAUUUAACAAAUAAGUACUUUAAAAAAAAUGAUUGUCACCUUUGUUCGCAAGAACUCUAACCCCAACAAGUCCAUUAAUAGCUCCAUUUGAGCUUACAAUUUCAUCAAAAAUAAUACUUUCUCCGUUGAAAAAAGAAUGACCUAGUUUGAUUUGGAAUGGAGUUUAAGAAAAGAAAGAAGACUUUUUAAUCUUGUGAUUCUAAAUUAAAGUUAUGUCAAAUGUACCAAAAUAUCUUUUAAUUUUGUAGACUUAAACAUGCCACGUGGAAAGUUGAAACUAAAGUGUUGCUAAAAAGGGAAAGGGGUCAUACUUUUUGAACAUACUAAAAAAAAACUAAAUCAUUCUUUUUUAAACGAAGGGUGUACUAAUAUGGGAAAAUUGUACAUAAUGGCAAACUAUUAAUUCAAAUUAAAUGGUAUAAUCACACUUUGAUUUAAUUGUGUCCUGUAGCAAACUGUUUGCCAGCGCCUCUCUCUCUCAAACUCUCGCUCGCCACUCUCCUCUCUCGCUCACUCUCUCUGUGCUCGCCUCUCUCGCUUUAUACACAUAAGUGUAUAAAUUGCGUUUCUGUUUGUAUAAAGCGAGAGAAAAUUGUAUAUACACAUGCAAAUACAUAUAUAUUCGUCCUAUACACUUAUAAUUAUACAAUAAAAAUAUUCCCCUGCCCAGUUUUAUUGCUUGUAUAAUGUAUAAUUUAUGUUUGUUCAACGAUUUUAUACAAACGAGAGACUAACAACAAUUUAUACAAAUGAGAGACUAACAACAAUUUAUACAAAUGGCCUGCCAGCGAAAUUAUACAAUUCUGAAGAGGAGCCAACGAAUUAUACAAUUGCUUCUUUUUGUAUAUAUGUAUAGCGAAUUAUACAUAUAUAUGUUUGCUAUGGAGCGCAAUUAUGCAAACUUUGCUAUAGCAUACAAAUAUGAUUUUUUUGUUUGCUAUAUGUGAAAGUUUCUCUACUAAUAUCUAUAGAAGAAAGCACUCAAACAAUGCUACUCCUAACAUUAAACUUGACACCAAAAGGCUUAAAAUUGAAAGAAAAGUCCGAACUUGAAAGAAGGAAAGAUAAAAAAAAUAGUAAAAAAUUCAAAAUUGUAUUUACAAUUUAAAAAGAGAGAUGAAAAAUUGUUUUUUUUUUCUUUAAAAAAAAAAUGCUUAUGAAAAGAAAAAAGAAAGAAUUAGUAGCAAGGAAAUAGGCUAGCAGACUUUUUAGCAAAGGAAGGAAGCUUAUUAGAAUUAAAUAAUGAUGCUCAUAUCCUAUAUCCUGGUAGGUGCCAGACCUAUUUUGCAAGCCGAUAAGGAUGGAGAAGCAACUACUAAAAUAAUUUCACUAUCUACUUGUACCAAGCUAGCAAUGCUUGGAAAUCUGAAUAUUAUCUCUAAUGAUGUAAUUAAUAGUGAUGCUAAUACUACAACUACUUGAGAAGCUAACUCUAUGGCUACUAAUACUACUGUAAUGUUUUGAUUAUAUAUAAGGUACACUUUUCCACCAAAAAAAAAAACAAUAAUCCUUCUUCAAUAAGCAUACUCGUUUCGAUCUAACUUUUAAUUUGGAGUUCUUUUUCUUCGUUUUUAAUUAUUUUUGUUGUUGGGUUUUUGAUAAAUACAUAGUAUUCAUUUGAAAAUGAGGGAAAUUAUUCAUUUUCUUCGUUUUUAAUUAUUUUUGUUGUUGGGUUUUUGAUAAAUACAUAGUAUUCAUUUGAAAAUGAGGGAAAGUGAAACAAUUUAAGUUUGAUUGAGAAUUUACACAUGAAAUCUUCAAAUUUUUGAAAUGUAAUUUAUGUAAGUAUUAUAAGUCAGAAUAAUUGACAAUUAAAAAUAUUUAAAAGAUAUAUGUAAAAAAUUUACGAUCAAAGAUGAAUAUGUUUGAAUCUCAAAAUUUAAAAAAAAUGUCACGUAAAUUAAUAAUGACAAGGAUAAGUGAUAUAGCAUGUGGGAGACCUGCUAGUUUCAAAAAGGGUGGGUGGAUUCAAGAAGAAAGGGAUUUACCUUUUCUUUUUUGGCUUUUGUCUUCUAUGUAGGUAAUUUUCUUACUUUUUAUUUAAUUUUUUGUAACUUUUUUAAUUAAUUCACUCUUAUUUUGUGUGUGUAAUACAUAUUUUUUCAACUCAGUUAAAUUAAUGUCACAUAAAUCCGAUCAAUGAUCAAAAGAGGCUAAAGUUUCUAUUUUGUUCUAGUUUAAAUGUGUAGUUAAAAUUUAUGGAGCAAAAGGGUUCAGUAUAAAAUUCUAAUCAAAUAUAGGUACUACUAGAUAAUUUCGCCUUCCUAUUAUGUCUCUGUGUUAAUAAUGUAUUUCUUUUCUUAUUACAUGUAUCUAUAAGUCUAUCUUCUAAUGUAUAUGAUAAUUUAUAUAAUUAUUUAUCUGAGAUGCGUCUUACAUACAAUAAUAGUGAUGCAUGUAUCAGAGGAUUUUUUUUAGAAUGAUUUCUUUAAGUACAUUUAUAUCUAUUAUACAUGAUAUAUAUAUACUGCACGUGCGUUGCAUGUGUAGGUUAAGUCUUGAAAUUCCUAUACACGAGAUAUUUUAUCUUUUAUGUAUAUUUUAGGCUUUCAACAUAUCUAUAUGUAUUUAAUAUUGCACUACAUCAUACUAAGUGAAUGGCCAAUCUAUUUGCCUUCUUUCUUGUUGGGCAUGUAGCGACGAACGUCGUAUUAUUAAAUUGUUAUUAGGCAAUUUGUUAGUAAGUAAUUGUGCAUGAAUUAACAGUUUGUCCUCUUAGUUAUGGCGUGUCAUGAACUGUAUGUUCCCUUUUAAUAAUUGAAAUAAUUCAGUGUACCCUGUAUUUGAAUAACUUUAUAUACACAAAAGUAAUGUCUUAUGUGGUAGCUGUCUGGUGUUUUUCAUAUCGUCUCCUCUUUCACCAAACCUAAGAAUUUGUCCAAUAUAAUUUUCAUUAGCUACAUGUGUGGUGUAUGUUUUUUCCUGUUUGAUUUCUUACAAUUUUGGUAUUAAUCAAAUCUCACCUAAUACUUUCUUGUAGACAAUAUUUCUUUUGUAUGUCCCGAUACAUCAAUCUGGUUGUUCUGUCAUGACGUGUACUUUUGUUGUUGGCAUAGAUAUUUCUCUAGAUAGUGCAACGUAUAGUUUGUCAUGUGAGAAAGUAUGUUGUGGUAGGUAUACUCCUACAUUUGAUACCAUUUGACCUUUAGCUUUAUUUAUCAUCAUUGCAAAAACAUAGACGUAUUGGAAAUUAUUUCCGAAUAAAUUUGAAAGGGUAUCCUUCAUUUUCGCGGGGGGAAGGGGGGUAUACCUGGUUUGUGGCAUAUUGACCUGUUGUUUUUUCUACGUGUAUGGCAUUCUCGUCAAAGCCUCUACAAAUCAACCAUGUCUCAUUGCAUAAGUCAUUUGAGGGUCCAAUUUUCUCAGCAGCAUGAUGGGCACAUUUUCUUUCAAAACAAACCUAAUAUAUAAGACUAAAAGAAUCUUCAAUUAUUAUGUAUAUGUAAUCGUGUAAUUCGUUUCUUCUCUUUUGUGCUAUGAAGUAUCACAAUAAGAUAACUGUAAAAGUUAGGAUGGAUUAGAAGACAUACCUAUGCGGCGGAGUUCAUUGGGCGUUAAGAUGUUUACGUAUAAAUACAUAUCAUAUCUUUACUGAGGUCGAUUCUAUGUAGUCUUGCACGCUGCAGCCUAGUAAAUAUUUAGCCUCUUCAAAUAGUAUAACUCGAGCACGUUGUUCUCCACCACACACUUCAAGUCGUAAGCAGUAUCUGUUUAAAAAGGGGAAGGGGGUGGUUGUAGUUUUAUUGUUGGAGUAAACAUUUGGUUCGUAGCAUAUUGACCUGUUGUUUUUUCUGCAUGUAUGACAUUCUCGUCAAAGCCUGUACAAAUCAACUAUGUCCCAUUGCAUAAGCCAUUUGAGGGGUCCAGUUUUCUCAGAGCAUAAUGGGCACAUUUUCUUUCAAAACUAACCUAAUGUGUAGAUUUGAAAGAAUCAUCAAAUUUUAUGUAUAUGUAAUUGUGUAAUUCUUUUCUUCUCUUUUGUGCUAUGAAGUAUCACAAUAAGAUAAUUGUAAAAGUUAGGAUGGAUUAGACAACGUACUUAUGUGGCGGAGUCCAUUGUGCGUUAAGGUGUUUAGGUAUAAAUACAGUUCAUAUCUUUAUUGAGGUUGAUUCUAUGUAGUCUUGCACGCUGCAGCCUAGUAAAUAUUUAGCCAGUUCAAAUAGUAUAACUCGGACACGUUGUUCCACCACACACUUCAAGUCGUUAGUAGUAUCUGUUUAAUAAGGGUAGUCAUUUAAAGGUUAAAGCUAAUUUAUUUUCUAAUUAGUAAAUGUAGAAUCAAGUUCUUAUUGAGUCUGACCUUAUUUCAUAUUCUACAUUCUCAAUGUUUCAAUUGUUACACGAUAAAGUAUGUUCUAUAACUUUCACUUUUUUGCUGCACUUUUUGCAAGACGAAUAUCAUGGCUCAUCUUUAAUCAGUAUGUCUACAAUUGUUGCUUUGAACUUGUACAAACAAUCCUACACAUCUCCAAUAUACCAUAUUUGUGAUUAUAUUUUGGAUAUUAAAAUGGUUAUUAUUUUUAGAGAGUACAAGUGUAGGAUAGUAUGAUAGUAUGUACUUGUGAAUCAGCUAGCAAUCCAUCCAUAUUAUAUACCAAUAAAACUUCUAUGGCUAUUCUCAUUUCCUUACUUGGUGUUAUCAUAAAAUCUUUAUUUUCGGCCUUUACCAUUUCACGCCUGUAUUUUUAUGAGAUUAGUUAACUGUAUCACCCAUUUUGAGUGAGAUGUGCUCGGUGCAAAGGUUUUGGGAACUUAGGAAUUUUAGUAUGUAAUUACCCAACAAUGAUAAUAUAAUAAUUGUAUCAUGUUAUAGAAAUUUUAAAAGUAACAUGCCUACAAUGCUAAAGUAUAGUAUGUACAUUAGUCAUAACAAUCAGGUUUAAAUAACAUUGCAGAACAUAUGUGUGAUUAAUGUAAUGUACCAGGUCCGUGGAUUUCUGAAACUGUGGAUUGAUCAAGACGCUACUCAUGGAAAUAGUAGAUAUUUCAAAAGUGCCUAGUGUUACAAGAGCAUCUUUCAUCUUUUCUAGAAAAGCACCGUCAUUUUCUACAAAAUCUUAUCAUAGAGUAACAGUUGUAUGUUCCAUGAUGGGUUAUCAGUUAGAACCGAAAUGUCAAUACUUCACCAUAUAUGUAUAUUGAUGGUAGUUUAGGCAUCUUCAAAACAUACUGCUCAUUUGUAACAACUAUCUCACGUCUCUUGCUAUAUUCUUUUUUCAAUGAGGGGAUUCAUUGAAACUAAAAUGCAAAUCAAAUCUUAGAAUAGGUAAUGUAAAUUAGUGAUAGCGAUUACGUAAUAGAGCAUGAAAUUAAACACAAAUUAUUUGGGUGGACAGUUACCUAGAAUAGCACCAUUAGGUAAUUUAUCGACAUGAUCCAAUGAUACAAAGCCAAGAAAGAAUCUAUAGUGUUGAAACCUCAAUGUCAGUCGCCUUUAUGAUUGUGUUAUUUGUAAAUGCCAAUUCAACUUCUUUAUGUACGGAAUAGUAGUUGGGGUUGACGCGAUCUAAGCGUCCUUUAGCAAUGUAGUAACUCUUAUUUGAUUUCAAGGAGUCCUUCCAUGUUUCGAUAUGUUUAUUAAAUAGUGUUGCUUGAAUUUUUUGUACCUAGUAUUUGUGAACAGGGGUGGGGGUAUAAGUACAAUAAACAUGAACGAUAAAAUAAUAAGGUAAGUAAAAGUGUCAAUGUUAUUACCUCUUAGUUAGCUAAUAUUAUUGUUCUGAAAGUCCCUUCAUGCCUUGAAUUCUUGUAAGGCAUUAUUGAACCCUUUCAAAUCACUAAGACUCUCAUCACCGAGUUAACAGACUAUUUUUGUAGCUUGUUUAUCGGUACAUUCCAUUUUGCUAGUUCAAUUUCAGUCGUCAUGUGGGCUGGAGCUUGAUGACUACCAUUGGGAAAUGAGAGUGACAAUGUUAAUUCUAAGAGUUAUUAUGUAUUAGUACCAUUGAUGAGGGCGGUAAAUGGUCGAAAUCUGCAUGAUUAGAAUUGGAUAUGAUGCAUAAAAGAGGGUAUCAUUAAGAUGUAAAGUGCGGUAAAAAUAAGGUUACGAGUAACAUAUAUAUGUAAAGUAUGUGUUUAAAAUUGCCAGGGGACUGUAUGUGAGCAGGUGAACCAACAAUAGGUUGUAUAAGUAAUGUUUCACGGGGAAGAAACAAUGUUGAUUAGUGGUGUAAAGUAUGUGUUUACCAUUGCCAGAGGACUGUAUGAAAGCAGGUGAACUAAUUAAUAUAUAUUUGCAUUAAUAAACAUAUUUAUCUCAUAAAAUUAGCUAUUAAAUAAAUAAAAAAAUUAAACUAAUACAAACUUCAACUGGCGUUAUUACAAGUCAUAUGAACUUUUCUUCAUCUAAAAUACUGAAAUAUUAAGAAUAUUAAUAAGUAAAACAAAAGGGCAAUGCUUAUAUAGUAAUAAUUAUUUUGAAGCAAACUUCCUGAGAGUCCAAAUCACAUAAGUAGCAUUGAUAAAUAAAGUCAUUCUUUUGUCUUGAGCAUAAAAAAACAAAUCGUCACAAUUUCUAAAUUUUGAAAAAAGAUAUUCAAAAGCAUAAAUCUACAUCACAAGAGAAAUUGUUAACAAAAUCAAAUGAAUUUAGACUACAUCAUGUUAACUUCAUAUAUUGGAACAUUACAUACUAAUGUAAAUAUUAAGCAAAAAAAUAAUUAUUAUAUCAUAAAAAUUAUAUUAUUUUCCUCAAGUACUCGAGGUUAUGGAAUAAACUCUCUUAGGAUAGAACGACUUAUUUCAUCAGAAUAGUGGUACCUUAUAUUCUGCUAAACUUUGAGCUCGCUCAACGACAAUAAAUCACACAAAAAAAAAUUAAAAUGCAAGAAGAAGAAGAAGAGAAUAUUAGAAAAAAAUGUGGUUGAAAAAUGAGAAUAAGACCCUCUAUUUAUAGUCAAAAAAGGGUAGUAUGAACAAUUUUUUUUGUGUCUUAUCUAAAAAAUCAUGACCUUUCCGAGAAGUCACAACAUUUUGGAAAAGUCACAAUUUUUAAAAAAAUUCACAACUUAUUGAAAAAGUCACAAGUUAUCAAAAAAGUCACAACUCAUCGAAAAAGUCACAACCUNNNNNNNNNNNNNNNNNNNNNNNNNNNNNNNNNNNNNNNNNNNNNNNNNNNNNNNNNNNNNNNNNNNNNNNNNNNNNNNNNNNNNNNNNNNNNNNNNNNNNNNNNNNNNNNNNNNNNNNNNNNNNNNNNNNNNNNNNNNNNNNNNNNNNNNNNNNNNNNNNNNNNNNNNNNNNNNNNNNNNNAAAAGUCACAACUCUUUGGAAAAGUCACAACUUAUUGAAAAAGUCGCAACUCUUUGGAAAAGUCACAACUCAUCGAAAAAUCACAACCCUUUGAAAAAAGUCAUAACUUAUCGAAAAAGUCACAAGUCAUCGAAAAAGUCACAACCUAAGUUAGGGAUAUUAUAGUAAUUUAACAUUCAAGUUAGGAGUUCAUGCUUUUAAGGUAAUAUAGAUAAAAACGUAUAUAAUGACAAUAUCUACCAUGUUGAUAAUUUUUUGUUAGAUAUAGAUUCAUGUAUAUACCUAAUAGACAUAUGAAGACUUUAUUGCAUCAACAAUGUAUAUAUAUUUCUCAUAUAUAGUUACACAUCAUUUAUGUAGGAGUAUACACUAUUAUACACUAUCGAUACAUUAUAUAUACAUAUAAAUACAUUAAAUAUGUAUAUGAUCAUUUUGUUCAAAAUAAUUUUUGUUGCAUGUACAUAUAUUGCUAAUUUUGGGCUAUUUCUUUUAUGUGAAUGAAAACUUGGAUAUAUUUGGUGCAAACAAAAUAACUUUAUUGAAUUUUAUACGAAAUUUAUCUUAUAGAAAAUAAUUUUUAUUCUAAUCAUGAUUAAGACUUAUUUUAAAUUUACUAAACAUCAAUCAUUGAUUUAAAUAUAUGACAUAUGCCUUUCAUCUAAAUAAAAACUAGGAGAAAGUUGAAAAAAUUAAAAUAGUAAGGAGCCUAAUUGUCCUAAUCACGGUUAAGUGUGUUUAGUAAAUGCUUUUCAUUUUUUUCAUAUGUUUUGAAAACAUUUUCUCUGCUAAAACAAGUUUUUUUAAAAUGAGGAAAAUGACUUCUCUAUUGAUAACGAAAACAAAUUGCAUAACAUUUCAAGUUUAUCGUAUGCAACCCUCAGCAUUUGAUCAUCCCACCCCCUCACCCCCACUCCUCAUUUAUAUCCGUCUACAUAGCAUUUUACAAGAUAACAUGUAAGUGCUCUUUGAAUAAUAUUUUUUUGCUUACUUACCAUAUACUAAAAAAUAAGUAAGAGACACACUUAAUUUUCGAGAAAUAUUUUUUAAAUAUACCAAACACACCUAAAGCUUAUUUGUAUUUUAUUACUACCUCCGUCUAUAUUAGAUGAGCACUUUUUAUUUUAUACGGUAAUUAAAAAUUAAUAGAUUAAUCAACUUUAUUAUUUCGCCCUUUGUUCAUAUUAAUUGCCUCUUGAAAAAAAUAUUCUUAAAUCUUUACAAUUUAUUUAAACUUUCAAAGACUAUAUUAAUUGUAAGAAUAAAAUAAAAAAAAUAAUUAAUUUUUAUUUCAAUUUAAUAAGUGAUCAAGUAAUAUGAAAUCGGUAUUUUUAUAUCGGGGUGUAAAUCUUAAUGACAUGCCUUUGUCGUCCAAAUAGAUAGAAAGGAGAGGAGCCCAAGAAUAAGUUAUUAUGAAUUAUAAGUUUAUCAUAGAUCUCUUAAACAUUUUGAAUUAUAAAUUAUUGUGACUAAUAGAACUUUUUACAUAGUUUAUAAAUAUAUAAAUUUCAUUUCAAAAAAAUUGAAGAUUUCAUGCACAAAUUCUCAAUCUAAUUUGAACUGAUUGACUCUCGACAAAUAAAAAAUGCCCAUAAAUUGAGACAAGGGGUAGUACCAUUAUGGUAUAAAUAUGGAAUAAAAAUUUUCAAACUCCAAUCAAAUACAUAUAAAAUAAUUCUAUAUUUUAUAUUUGAGAUAUUAUACCUUAUAUGUGUAAAGUCGCGACAACCUUCCUCACCAUAUCUGAACUGGGCGGGUGAUAAUGAUAAUGAAAAUAAGAAGAUAAAAAUCUCAUUGAUGAUUACAAAGUAGUGAGUGAUUUAGCAAUGGAAAUCUGGUUUAUCAUUGUUGUUACUCUCUGUAUUGCUUUCUGGUUGAAAUCCAUUUUUAAUAUUAUUGUCUCUCCAAAUUCCAAUACCAAGAAGAAGCUCCCGCCGGGACCCUACAAUUUUCCGGUGAUCGGUAGCUUAUUAUGGGCCAAAAGGACCUUCGCCGACUUGGAACCCAUCCUCCGUGACCUUAAGGCUAAGUAUGGUCCGCUGAUUACCCUAAAGAUUGGGUCUCGUUCAGCCAUAUUCGUAGCUAUCCACUCCAUAGACUACCAAGCUUUAGUCCAGCAAGGUGCUGUUUUCUCUGACCGGCCAAAGGCUGGACCCGUCAGUAGUAACCAGCGGAACAUCAGCUCCUCCCCUUACGGCCCUAUAUGGCGUCUACUCCGUCGAAAUUUGACUUCAGAAAUACUCCACCCUUCUCGCAUCAAGUCCUAUUCCAAGGCCAGAUCUUGGGUAUUGGGUAUCCUCAUUCAACAGCUCCGUAACUCCCAAGUUGAUUCUGUUAAGUUAAUUGAUCAUUUUCAGUAUGCUAUGUUCUGUCUUCUUGUAUUGAUGUGUUUUGGGGAUAAGCUUGAGGAAUCUCAAAUCAGACAAAUUGAAAAUAUACAGCGCAAAAUGCUCCUGGGUUUCAGACGAUUCAAUAUGCUCAAUUUCUUUCCUAGAGUUGGGAAAAUAAUUUUUAGGAAUCGCUGGAAGGAACUCAUUGAACUACGACAAGAGCAAGAGAGUAUCAUUAUCCCUCUGAUUGAAGCUCGAAGCAGGACCAAAGAACAAAAAAUCGAGCACGGUGAUGAAUUUGUGGUGGCUUAUGUGGAUACGCUGUUGAAUUUGGAGUUGCCAGAGGAAAAAAGGAACCUCAAUCAUGGAGAAAUCGUAACCCUCUGCAGUGAAUUCCUAAGCGCCGGAACUGAUACGACGUCCACUGCCUUACAGUGGGUUAUGGCCAACUUGGUCAAAAACCCUUCCAUUCAGGAAAAACUGUACCAAGAAAUUGCAAGAGUAGUGGGAGAAAAACAGAGCAAGUUGGCAGAUGAAGAGGUGGUGAAGGAGGAAGAUUUGCAGAAAAUACCCUACUUGAAAGCAGUGAUAUUAGAAGGUCUUAGGCGGCACCCACCUGGUCACUUUGUGCUGCCACACACAGUGACGGAGGAAGUAGAACUGAACGGCUACGUCAUCCCAAAGGAUGUCACGAUCAAUUUCAUGGUUGCAGAGAUGGGUCUAGACCCGAAGGUGUGGGAGGAUCCCUUGGAGUUCAGGCCAGAGAGGUUCUUAGUGGAAGGAUCAGAUAACGAAGGGUUUGAUAUAACAGGGAGUAGAGAGAUCA
rnacentral:lncRNA from 1 species